rnacentral:misc_RNA from 1 species
GUGAAUCAUCGAAUUUUUGAACGCAAAUUGCACUUUUUGGUAUUCCGGAAAGUAUGCCUGUUUGAGGGUCAGUUAUAUAAACAUCGGUUUUGUUGCUGCCUUUCGUGGUGACGCGUCGGCAUUCGGUCGUCUUACCUUCGGAUAAGCGACUUAAAAUUUUUUCAUGAUUUUCGAACGUAUUUAAAUCGCUUACGUACGUUUAAGAUAUCGCAUGCUUAUUAGGUUCGGUCCUUCCCAUCAU